GACGAACGCUGGCGGCGUGCUUAACACAUGCAAGUCGAACGGAAAGGCCCUUCGGGGUACUCGAGUGGCGAACGGGUGAGUAACACGUGGGUGAUCUGCCUCGUACUUUGGGAUAAGCCUGGGAAACUGGGUCUAAUACCGAAUAUGACCUCUGGAUGCAUGUCUGGUGGUGGAAAGUUUUUCGGUACGAGAUGGGCCCGCGGCCUAUCAGCUUGUUGGUGGGGUAAUGGCCUACCAAGGCGACGACGGGUAGCCGGCCUGAGAGGGCGACCGGCCACACUGGGACUGAGACACGGCCCAGACUCCUACGGGAGGCAGCAGUGGGGAAUAUUGGACAAUGGGCGGAAGCCUGAUCCAGCAACGCCGCGUGAGGGAUGACGGCCUUCGGGUUGUAAACCUCUUUCACCAC
rnacentral:rRNA from 1 species